CUACAUUUCUGGAAAGGGCACCUCUGAGCUAAGCUUGUUAGGAACUAGCUUAUGUCAUUGUGUUUCCCAAAUUGUUUCAUUUUAUUAUAGUGUCUGCUACAUAUGCUCUGUUUAAAAAAUAUAUAUAUAUUAACUAAAGUUGGGAUAUACAAAUCUGAUGAUUCACAAAGCAAGCAUAUCAGCAAUAUUUAAGGCCUGAAACAAUCCUACAGAAAAGAAACCUUUGUUUAACGUAGAAUUUUCCUAAACCUACUUGAUCAGAGACUAUUUUUGACAGCAACUCUGUUCAAAUGCCGUAGAACACAGUCUGAGACCACACACUGGCUCAAGGGAUCAUUUUCCAAACUUGAUAUCUAACAGGAAUUCAGGCUCUUUAGGAAUAGGACCUAGAUUAGGCCCUUGAAACAAGGAUUAUGAGGAAAGGAUGCAGGGGGAGGCAAGAGGAAAGAUGACAGUGACCUUUGCCCCACAUGGAAAGAGCAGAGAAGAGAGAUCCAUGUGACCUUUAGUCUACUUCUAGUUUUGUUCACAUACCAGCGCUGACCUGUGUUUACCCCUAAAUCAGCUAACCGGACUUUCUCCCUCUACCAGAUGGGGGACCAAGGCAAGAUACUUUUCAGGGUCUCCUUUAGAUCAGCUGUCCUAGUUUUCAAUUUCAUUAUUUCGGUUUGGAAAAAAAUGCAUGAGACAUUUUUAUUUUGACAGAAGUGGUGAUGUUUUGCCUUUUUAGAGGUUUUUCAAUUUUCUCUCAAGGGCUCUAGAAGAUCCCCAAGGUCAAUAACAAUGUUUGUUUGAUAUAAAAUAUUUUAGCAAAUUUUUAUAGUUUGAAGGCUGUUGCUUGUUACAGUUCAAAGGCUCUAUCUAAAUAUAGCAUAUUGAAUUAAAAAACUGAAUUAAUAUUUUUUUAAUAAUGGGAAUUAUUGUAGAUGGACAGAUCAACUCAUGACUUCAUUACCUCAUCUUUUAUGUUCACGCAGCUUCCUGGCAAACAAAUGGAAUGUAUCUUUAAACAAUGGAACAACUAGAAGAUGCCUCAUGCUCAGUGGCUAACUGGAAUCACUCCACAAACCAGCAAUUGUAUUUGACUAAUGUGUUCCCUGUUGAGUCAGGUUAUUCCAGACUUAGGGAGGGAUUAAUGCAUUUUCACAAAACCAGGCCUGUAGUCAGGUGGUCCACUUUUGUUAUGAGAUGAGCUAUAGAGGAUUUGGAAGCAUUAUGGACUUAAUAGCCAUAAAGUGAGUUGGGUGACAAAGGUGGAGAAUAAAGAGAAGUCUAGAGGGCAUUACUAACCUCUGAAUAAUAGUUAUUCCUAUCUCUGGAUUUUUAGAAAUUGCAGGUGGUCAUGAGUCACUGUUUUUAAAACUUGCUCACUUUUCUGUUACAUAGAGAGGUAUUUUGGUAAAACAUAUGGUUAUAUUUCAACAUACCCACUUAUUAUAGCAAUUCCAAUGAUACCACUUUGAACAUAAAGUAUAUUAAUAUUGUUUGUAGCUAAAUUUAAUACUGAUACUACAACAACUAUUUUUACACUAAAUAAUUAAGGUUUUUUUCCUCUUCUUAAUUCCUAAGGGAGAAAAACACCUUCUGUAAAAUCAAAGUCUUUUCUCUUCUUAAGACAACAUGAUUAUACAGAACGUGAGGUCUCUUUUUUUUACCAAAUAGGAAAUGCUUUGAACUUGUUAGAUGAUAUGUCAGCAGUUAUUUUUGAACUUUUCAAGAAUACUGAAUACAUUUGAAUUAAAAUUCACUAGUAGUUUUCAUUUAAUAUUCAUUCAUUGAAACUGUAGACAGACUAGAGAAACAAAAUCUUCACUCUAGUAGUCUUUUGUCUUUCUAAUUUAAUCGAAUAUAUAUUUACUAUCUUCAGAUCUCUAAGGUAAUGACCACACCUUACCUUGGGAAAAGGGCAUUGUGCUAUACCUUGACAGCAGAGUUAGAGAAAGUGGUAAUUUUCAACGCUAACAGGUGCAUAGCCCAUAAUCAGAGAAUUCAUAUUCCCUAUGAUUUUCUAAGAAGUACUGCACACUUUAACAAGACUGUCAUAGUUUUCCAAAUUGUAUCUUUUCUCCUUUUAGGUGUUAAAUUGUAUUUGGACUUUUAUGGCUAAAGAAGACAAGGAUUUCAAGUGGAAAGGAGCUGCCACUCCUGGAGAAUGUUUCCCACUCUUUCAGGAUCUCCGCUGAAGCAGCCAGUGCACGGUGACCUGAACGUCUUCAGAUUUUGUUGUGGUUUGAGAUGGUGUCAUGUAAGCUUGUGAUGGUUAAGUAAACAAGCAACACUGGAACAAAAUUUAACCUGGAUGUUGUGGUUGACUGCAAAAGGGAAGAAUAAUUAUUCACACUAUAAGAAGCCAAACGAAUCUGGAUUAUUUUUAAAAUAAUGAAAUGUGCAGAAGAGUUAACCUGGGAGAUACUCUGUGAAUCAAACACAAGUGCUUUUGGUGUAUAAUUGACCUAACUGAUAAAAACUGCUCAUCUAAAAUGGAAGUGAGGAUUUUCUCCUGUCCCCAAGGCUCACUUGAUCGGCCCGGUUGCUACCAACAAUGGAAGUGAUGAGAAGUUGUCAGAUUCUCAGUAUGAGUUUAUGGCAGAGUCACCAUGUGCUGUUGGAGUGUGAACAAAAGACAGGAAACAAGGAUAAUAUGUAAAUAAAGAUCUGAGCUCUGCCCUUCCUUCUCCACCCCAAGCUCAGCUGGUAGAUGCCACCACGGGCCCUGGCUCAAAUUCAGAUUUUACCAUCACUACUGUCCCGGCCCACGGGACGAACGUGGAGUGUACCGGAGACGCCUGCAGAAAUGAGACAAGCAAGAGACACAAAGAAUGACCAGCAAGACAGGAUGUCUGAUCAAGCUGGCGAAGUUUAUUGUUUACAGGC